UACAGAGGUGGCAAGCGUUGUUCGGAAUUACUGGGCGUAAAGGGCGCGUAGGCGGUUUGUACAGUCAGGUGUGAAAUUCCCGGGCUCAACCUGGGGGCUGCACUUGAUACGUAUGGACUGGAGUGGGGAAGAGGGUCGUGGAAUUCCCAGUGUAGAGGUGAAAUUCGUAGAUAUUGGGAAGAACACCGGUGGCGAAGGCGGCGACCUGGUCCUUGACUGACGCUGAGGCGCGAAAGCGUGGGGAGCAAACAGG
rnacentral:rRNA from 1 species